rnacentral:rRNA from 1 species
CUUGAACAGCGAGUGACCAACUCCGAAAGGGGUCUUCCGCAAGGACACUCGUAGAGGUGCUGCAUGGCUGUCGUCAGCUCGUGUCGUGAGAUGUUGGGUUAAGUCCCGCAACGAGCGCAACCCUUGUUUGCUGUUGCCAUCACGUUAUGGUGGGCACUCUGCAAAGACUGCCGGUGAUAAACCGGAGGAAGGUGGGGAUGACGUCAAGUCAGCAUGGCCUUUAUGUCUGGGGCUACACACGUGCUACAAUGGCCGAUACAAACCGUCGCGAUACCGUAAGGUGGAGCUAAUCGGAGAAAGUCGGUCUCAGUUCGGAUCGUAGGCUGCAACUCGCCUGCGUGAAGUUGGAAUCGCUAGUAAUCGCGGAUCAGCACGCCGCGGUGAAUACGUUCCCGGGCCUUGUACACACCGCCCGUCACAUCACGAAAGCCGGUUGUACUAGAAGUCGCCACACUAACCCGCAAGGGAGGGAGGCGCCUAAGGUAUGGUCGGUGAUUGGGGUGAAGUCGUAACAAGGUAGGCGUAGCGAG